CUAGAAGUGGAGGUGUCAGAAGAUAUUUCAAGCAAGAACCCUAAAAAUCUCAGAGAGAUCAGGCGAAAUAAGAGGCGAAAGGUUCGUGGGGGACCAAACAAGUGGAAUGCGACAGAAGAAAAAUGGAGAAGAAGGGGCACCUAGAGGGCAAGAGAAGGAAUGAAAGUUUCGGGACUAACCUAAGUCGCUCCGAAGGAUGCAGAGGUACAGGGACAGGGAUGACUCGA
rnacentral:lncRNA from 1 species